ACUCCUACGGGAGGCAGCAGUGGGGAAUUUUGGACAAUGGGCGCAAGCCUGAUCCAGCAAUGCCGCGUGAGUGAAGAAGGCCUUCGGGUUGUAAAGCUCUUUCAGUCGAGAAGAAGAAAUUGUGACUAAUACUCACAAUUCAUGACGGUAUCGACAGAAGAAGCACCGGCUAACUACGUGCCAGCAGCCGCGGUAAU
rnacentral:rRNA from 1 species